AAUACAUAUUCUUUCUUUUCGUUUGACUUCCUCUUUUUCACAUAUUUUUGCACUUUUAAAAAUUUGGAGAUAAAAGAUUUUCUCAAUGUUUUUCAUUUCAUGAUUUUCCCAAUAUUUUUCGGCUCGUCAUAAUGCUUCGAUCUCACCCCUUCUAUGCCAACUGUUGAAUUACGGAUAUGGGUCAACCAUAUGGACCCGACACGACCCGACACGUUUAUCUUAGUCAGAACAUAAGAUUAACAGAUAAUCUUAAUUAAAAAAAGGAGAACGGUUAUAACUAUUCCAGCCCAAAAAGACCCCUAUAUGAUCUCUUUUCUCUUUUUCUGACAAAGGCAAGAAACAAAUAUACAGAGAAAAAAAUUGAAUCGAAAAACAAGCAAUUGAAAUUAACAAAAACGUCAGAGCAUUUACUUGGUGAAACAAUUGCGUUUCCAAGAGAAACGAAGUGGACUUGGGGCAGAUCCUUUCAGAAGCAAAAACAAUUUUCACUGUGAAUUUAAGAAAUGGCUGAACGGGGACAAAGUCGAAUCACUCCAAGUGGGAGUUCUGGAUGUCGAGCAAAGAGACAAGGUACAAGGGCACAUCGUCGAAGGACAUAUUUUUGAGGUCGUGAGAUCAUAUGAAAUGGUGUCCCCAGGGCGACACAAAAUCUGUUACGGAAUGAAAGAACAAUACGAAGGGAAAGAGAAAAGAAAUUGAAAGAGUUCAAGUCUUUUAAGAUGUCACCUAACAUUAGUGUUGCUAGUUUUAUACAUCUAUUUGAAAUGAAACGUGUAGAACUAGAAAACUAUGUAGAAAUUUCGGAUUGAGAAGCAUUAGCUAUAUUAGCAAAUUCUCUUCAUGAUCCUUGGUGCGAGAGAUUAAUUGAUGUUUACCAGGAGAUUUGGCCUAGCGAGCCUUUUUAGGUGUACAUAAGUCGUCUAGAAUAUUUGUGGAAUGACUUUUAUUUUUAGAUUGACUUGUAACAUAAAGUUAUUUAUUAACUUCAUAUUAUGUAUAUAUAUUAAGUUGUUUA